rnacentral:rRNA from 1 species
UACGAAGGGGGCUAGCGUUGCUCGGAAUCACUGGGCGUAAAGGGUGCGUAGGCGGUUGGGUAAGUCGGGUGUGAAAACUCCAGGCUCAACUUGGAGACGCCACCCGAUACUGCUCUGACUUGAGUUCGGUAGGGGAGUGGGGAAUUCCUGGUGUAGCGGUGAAAUGCGUAGAGAUCGGGAGGAACAUCAGUUGCGAAGGCGGCUCUCUGGACCAGCACUGACACUGAGGCACGAAAGCGUGGGGAGCAAACGGG